UACGUAGGGUGCGAGCGUUGUCCGGAAUUAUUGGGCGUAAAGAGCUCGUAGGCGGUGUGUCACGUCGGCCGUGAAAACCUGCAGCUUAACUGUGGGCGUGCGGUCGAUACGGGCAUCACUGGAGUUCGGCAGGGGAGACUGGAAUUCCAGGUGUAGCGGUGAAAUGCGUAGAUAUCUGGAGGAACACCGGUGGCGAAGGCGGCAUCCUGGACCAAUAUUGACGCUGAGGAGCGAAAGCCAGGGGAGCAAACGGG
rnacentral:rRNA from 1 species